AUUGAACGCUGGCGGCAGGCCUAACACAUGCAAGUCGAGCGGAUGAAGGGAGCUUGCUCCUGGAUUCAGCGGCGGACGGGUGCGUAAUGCCUAGGAAUCUGCCUGGUAGUGGGGGACAACGUUUCGAAAGGAACGCUAAUACCGCAUACGUCCUACGGGAGAACGCAGGGGACCUUCGGGCCUUGCGCUCUCAGAUGCGCCUAGGUCGGAUUAGCUAGUUGGUGAGGUAAUGGCUCACCAAGGCGACGAUCCGUAACUGGUCUGAGAGGAUGAUCAGUCACACUGGAACUGAGACACGGUCCAGACUCCUACGGGAGGCAGCAGUGGGGAAUAUUGGACAAUGGGCGAAAGCCUGAUCCAGCCAUGCCGCGUGUGUGAAGAAGGUCUUCGGAUUGUAAAGCACUUUAAGUUGGGAGGAAGGGUUGUAGAUUAAUACUCUGCAAUUUUGACGUUACCGACAGAAUAAGCACCGGCUAACUACGUGCCAGCCGCCGCCGUAAAAC
rnacentral:rRNA from 1 species